CCUACGGGCGGCAGCAGUGAGGAAUAUUGGUCAAUGGGCGCGAGCCUGAACCAGCCAAGUAGCGUGAAGGAUGACUGCCCUACGGGUUGUAAACUUCUUUUAUAAAGGAAUAAAGUGAGGCACGUGUGCCUUUUUGUAUGUACUUUAUGAAUAAGGAUCGGCUAACUCCGUGCCAGCAGCCGCGGUAAUACGGAGGAUCCGAGCGUUAUCCGGAUUUAUUGGGUUUAAAGGGAGCGUAGAUGGGUUGUUAAGUCAGUUGUGAAAGUUUGCGGCUCAACCGUAAAAUUGCAAUUGAUACUGGCGGUCUUGAGUACAGUUGAGGUAGGCGGAAUUCGUGGUGUAGCGGUGAAAUGCUUAGAUAGCACGAAGAACUCCGAUUGCGAAGGCAGCUUACUAAGCUGCCACUGACAUUGAGGCUCGAAAGUGUGGGUAUCAAACAGGAUUAGAUACCCGGGUAGUC
rnacentral:rRNA from 1 species